rnacentral:tRNA from 1 species
GGCGUAGCUCAAUUGGUAGAGCAGCUGACUUGUAAUCAGCAGGUUAUCGGUUCAAGUCCGAUCGCC